CGGACUAUGGCGAGAAGUGGCACACUGCUCAGUAACACGUAGCUAACCUACCCUCGGGACGGAGACAACCCCGGGAAACUGGGGUUAAUACCCGAUAGGCGUGGAUUCCUGGAAUGGUGUCACGCCGAAACGUUAACACACCAUGUUUGUGUACACGCCCGAGGAUGGGGCUGCGGCCGAUCAGGCUGUUGGUGAGGUAACGGCUCACCAAACCUUUGACCGGUACGGGCCGUGAGAGCGGUAGCCCGGAGAUGGACACUGAGACAAGGGUCCAGGACCUACGGGUCGCAGCCGGUACGAAACCUCCACAAUGCACGAAAGUGCGAUGGGGUUACCUCGAGUGCCGUCUGAAGAAGGCGGCUUUUCCAUUGUGUAAUGAGCCGUGGGAAUAAGGGGGGGGCAAGACUGGUGUCAGCCGCCGCGGUAACACCAGCCCCCCGAGUGGUGGGGAUGUUUAUUUGGCCUAAAACGUCCGUAGCCAGCUUGGUAAAUCUCUCGUUAAAUCCAGCGUCCUAAGCGUUGGGCUGCGAGAGAGACUGCCGAACUAGAGGGUGGGAGAGGUCAGCGGUAUUUCUGGGGUAGGGGCGAAAUCCAUUGAUCCCAGGAGGACCACCAGUGGCGAAGGCUGCUGACUAGAACACGCCUGACGGUGAGGGACGAAAGCUGGGGUAGCGAAUCGGAUUAGAUACCCGAGUAGU
rnacentral:rRNA from 1 species